rnacentral:rRNA from 1 species
GACGAACGCUGGCGGCGUGCUUAACACAUGCAAGUCGAACGAAGAGCGACGGAAGCUUGCUUCUAUCACUCUUAGUGGCGAACAGGUGAGUAACGCGUAAUCAACCUGCCCUUCAGAGGGGGACAACAGUUGGAAACGACUGCUAAUACCGCAUACGAUCUAACCUCGGCAUCGAGGAUAGAUGAAAGGUGGCCUCUACAUGUAAGCUAUCACUGAAGGAGGGGAUUGCGUCUGAUUAGCUAGUUGGAGGGGUAACGGCCCACCAAGGCGAUGAUCAGUAGCCGGUCUGAGAGGAUGAACGGCCACAUUGGGACUGAGACACGGCCCAGACUCCUACGGGAGGCAGCAGUGGGGAAUCUUCCGCAAUAGACGAAAGUCUGACGGAGCAACGCCGCGUGAGUGAUGACGGCCUUCGGGUUGUAAAGCUCUGUUAAUCGGGACGAAAGGCCUUCUUGCGAAUAGUGAGAAGGAUUGACGGUACCGGAAUAGAAAGCCACGGCUAACUACGUG